UACGUAGGCAGCAAGCGUUGUUCGGAGUUACUGGGCGUAAAGGGUGCGUAGGCGGCUCUAUAAGUAUGGUGUGAAAUCUCCCGGCUUAACUGGGAGGGUGCGCUAUAGACUGUGGGGCUAGAGUGUGGGAGAGGAAAGUGGAAUUCCUGGUGUAGCGGUGAAAUGCGUAGAUAUCAGGAGGAACACCGGUGGUGUAAACGGCUUUCUGGACCAUAAACUGACGCUGGAGGCAACGAAAAGCGUGGGUAGCAAACAGG
rnacentral:rRNA from 1 species